rnacentral:rRNA from 1 species
AUGAGAGGGAGCACAGUUCUAGCAGAGUGUCUGCCCUCGAGGCUUCGGUUCGUGCCUAUGUUGAUCAAAACUGCAAAUGUUAUUAAUCCAGCAAUUGGAACUAGCUUUGAGUCUCUCGAGGAGGACUAUGAGUUCUACAACCUGUACUCUUGGGAAGUUGGUUUUGGUGUCCAAUACGUAAAAAGCCAUUUGAAUGUACACCAGAAGAAGUGCGUAUGCGCCUGUGCGGGUAAACCAUUGCAGUCUAAUGGCCGGUCGAAGAUGUGGGUGCAAUGCCAUGAUGCGGCUGCUGAGAUCGGAUGA